AAAUUUCUGCAAAAAACAGCUUAUGCUAAAACUAAAAAAAAAAAAACAAUAACAAAAAAUAAAAAUAAAAUUCUUAAGCAGAAACAACACUAAAACCCAGCCAGUGCAUAGUAUAGCAAACGCUUUUGUGUGCGGUUAGAGUGCAAGCGGCCGCAACAAAAAGUCAGUGUUAAUGUGUGUGUUUUUCGAGCGAUGCAACUGAUUGUUGACAAAAUUCCCAUGUUUUCGAAACAAACAACGAAACGUAAUUCCAAAAAAAAAAAUGAUGAAAUGAACGCCGGUACCGGCUCCUCGAGGGCGCCAGCCUCCGGGAGCCAAAUAUCACCACAACUACCCGACGUACAAACGCAGCAACAGCAACUACAACAGCAACAACAACAAAUACAACAGCAACAACAACUGCAACACCAGCAGCAAUUACAGCAGCAGCAGCAAUUACAACAGCAGCAGCAACAGCAACAACAACAAAUUCAACAACAACAACAAUCAGCUCAACAAAAUAAUACAUACGGCAACUAUCCCAGCGUAUAUAAUACAACACCCACACAGAAUGGCAUUACAACACCAAUUGGUACAUAUUCGAUGGGUGAGCCAGAUACAUUGCGCACACUAAAGAAUACAUUUGGUCCGAAUUCGGAGUUUACAACAACCAGCGGCUACGGCAACUAUAGUAAUAUGGUCACGGCUAAUGGUGGCGGUCUGCAACAGCAACAACAGAUGGAUAAUAUGAGUGGCAUGGGCAGUGGAUAUGGGCAGUUGAGUGCCAAUCAAAUGCAUGGUAGCAAUGUGCAAAAUCUUUACAUGAAUGGCAACAUUGGCCCUACUGGUAGUGGCAGUCCAAGUGCGACAAAUAUGAAUAGCACGGGUGGUGGCAUUGGUGGUGGCGCUUCGCAAGUGGCCAGUAAUCCAAAUGUUAUUGGCAUGAAUGCCGGUUCCAACAUGCAAAUGGGUCAUAUGAAUGCGUAUAAUGGCGGCGGCGGUGGUGGCGUCGGCGUUGGCAGCGGUGUUGGCCCCAACGGCAAUCCGAGUAUUGCGCCAUCUAGACAUCAAAUGAAUCCCAUGAACCAGAUGCAGAGCAUGACUAUGGGCGGUGGUCCACAAUUGACACCACAGCAACAGCAGCAACAACAAGCCAUGAACGGGCUGGGGCCCAUGGCUAAGAUGCAGGGCAUGGCGAAUGGCGGUUAUGCACGUCGUAAUACGCCUUAUCCCGCGCCACAGAUGCAUGCGGCACAAAAGCGCGCCAGCUACCCCUCUAUGGGCAAUCCGUCACUACAGAAUGUUCCUCCGCAAAUGAGUAUGCAACAUUAUGGCCAACAGAUGCACCCGCAAGCUGGCAGCGGUGUACCGGUGCCUAUGCAAGCGGGCGCCUACGGACGUGGCGGCCCCAUGGGCGGCUAUGCCAGAGCUAAUGCUAUGGCACCGGUCGGUAUGGGUCCCGGCGGUGGCAUGGGUCCCAGUGGAAUGGGUCCUGGCGGUAUGGGUCCCGGCGGUAUGGGUCCUGUUGGCAUGGGCCCCAGUGGCAUGGGUCCCGGCGGCAUGUGUCCAAGCAAUAUGGGUCCUGGCGGCAUGGGUCCUGGCGGUAUGGGCCCCGGUGGAAUGGGUCCGGGUGGCGUGAGUGCAAUGCAGCGUGGUAUGCCACAAGGUCCAGGCGGUUACAGCGCCGCUAUGGCGCAUCAACAGAAUCAAUAUUAUGCGAGCGUGAAUGGUGGUGGCGGCGGUGGCAUGGGUCCGGCUGGUCCGAGCUCUCUAACGAAUACCGGUGCGAUGUACCAGAAUCAAGGUUUCCAGCAAAAUUACCAACACAGCCCAGUUCCUGGUAAUCCGACGCCGCCAUUAACACCUGCCUGCAGCGUUCCAUACAUCAGUCCGAAUCCAGACAUCAAACCCAUUAUGGACAACUGCGAGGAGAUGCGACUGACUUUCCCCGUACGUGAUGGCAUCAUACUUCCACCUUUCCGCUUGCUGCACAAUCUCUCCGUCAGCAAUCACGUAUUCCACUUAAAGCAGAAUGUCUACAAUACGCUCAUGUGUCGCUCCGACCUCGAGCUGCAGUUGAAAUGCUUCCACCAAGAUGACCGGCAGAUGAACACAAAUUGGCCGCAUACAGUAACGGUUUCGGCUAAUGCUACACCCCUCAAUAUUGAGCGCUCCGAGAAGACGGGCCAAGCACUGCGGCCGCUAUAUCUGAAGGCAGUGUGUCAACCCGGACGCAAUACUCUCCAACUAACCGCUAGUUCCUGCUGUUGUUCCCACUUAUUUGUGCUACAGCUAGUCCAUCGACCUUCCGUGCGGCAUGUUCUUCAAAGCCUGCACAAGCGUAAUUGUUUGCCGGUAGACCAUUGUGUAGCCAAAAUCAAACGCAACUUCAUGGUCUGUUCGACGACCAGCGUUCCACUAGAAUCCGGUGCCGGCAAUAUGGAAGCGACAAAAUGCACCAAGAUCUCAUUAAAAUGUCCGAUCAUGAAGUCUCGAAUACGAAUGCCUGCGCGAGGACACGAGUGCAAGCACAUCCAGUGUUUCGAUCUGGAGGCCUAUCUGCUUAUGAAUUGCGAACGUGGCGCCUGGCGGUGUCCCGAGUGCAAUAAACCCGCGCUGACAGAAAGUCUUGAAAUCGAUCAGUAUGUCUGGGCCAUUUUGGAUAAACUGAAUGGCACUGAUGUGGACGAGGUUAUCAUCGAUUCGAGUGGUAAUUGGCGAGCGGCGCAAGGUAUACACCAAGGUUCACCGAUCAGCGCGAUGUCUGCACAAAUGCCCAGCCCAAUGUCGGGACAAAUGUUGCCAGGAGGACAAAUGCCAGGUCAAAUGGGUGGUCCAACCCCGAGUCAAAUAGGCGCACAAAUGCCCGGACAAAUGGGCGGUCAAAUGCCUGGUCAAAUGAGCGGACAAAUGCCUGGGCAAAUGGGUGCUCAAAUGCAAGGACAAAUGGGACCGAUGGGUAGCCAAAUGCCAGGACAAAUGGGCGGUCAAAUGGGCAGCCAAAUGCCGGGUCAAAUGGGCGGGCAAAUGGUUGGACCCAAUGUGCCGAGUAUUAAACAGGAGAAUACCUUUGACGAUCAAUCAAAAGUGAUGUCACCAUGGGACAACUCGCAGGCGAUGAGUCCCUACAUGCAACAUGACAUGAAUGCGGGCACGCCUAAUGUACCCGGUGCGGGUCAAAUACGCAGUCCCUUCGACAUGUAUAGCGGCGGCGAUGUCGGUGUUAAUGAUCAGCAUACAGGUGAUACUGGUAAUUCUCUUGACCAGCUUAAUGCAAUGGAGAAGAGUCUCAACGAUCAGAUGCCUCAUACGCCGCACACACCAAUGCAUCCGAUGACUCCCGGUGGCCCACCUAGCGUAAGUUCUGCGCACAAUGAGCCCUCAACACCUAAUGCGAAUAUUUCGAAUUCCUCACCGCAAACACCUGGCACACCCGGGCAACCUGGUGGACCGGCCUCAAAUCGAGGUGGUGCUGCAAAUGAUUCACACCAGCAGCAACAACAACAACAACAACAUACACAACAGUCAGUCCAGCAAUCGCAACAAGAGCAAAUCAUUAAUUCGCUAAUCAACUCACAGCCGAAUGGCUUGUCGAAUCUCAAUGAAACGGAUUUGAAUGCGGAAUUGAAUAUGGACAACAAUGAUGGCGCUGGGGAUUUGAAUAAGGCUCAUAUCUACCAGCAGCUCUAAAGGGUUCCUUAAGCUUAUUUAACAAGUAUAUGAAGCAAGUUACUGGGGGAGCUCAAGAGACACCACUUCGUUAUUCGCCCCCCAAACGGUUACGACUGCGCAGAUGUGAUUUGAUGGUCAAAUUUCAAACGGACAGUCAACUUAUAAAUUUCAAACUAUGCAUUUAUUGUCGGAAGUCUCUACUGGCUUGAUGCAGACGUAUCAAAGCUGUUGUCUCUGUGUUAAUUCGAAUAGUUUGGACCAAAGUGGAACUUUGUGCUCAUUACAAGAAGCUUCUACCAGAUGUUGAUCCCAUGGAAAUUCUUUCCUACUUGGACCCACAACCAGAUCUGAAUACACCGCCAUCGAGUGGCUCCAGCA
rnacentral:misc_RNA from 1 species